GGGGCCGGGUGUUGAGUGUUGGGCGGCUGAGUCCACGGGUUGUCGCGUGCUUCCUCCACGAUACUGCACUGAUCUUGUACGUCUACUUACCAGAUAGCGGAAGUGGGGAGGACUCUUGUUUAACAUAUUAUAUCAACUCCUACGCCGCUUGAGUUUGCUACACUAUACUUACGCACAUCCCCAUUGACGCAUACGUAAGGUAGCACCCAACCUAGGAAAAUUUUCCUACGUGCUUUUACAGAGUACAAUGGCAGUUUCACCUCUUGCUAUUUCACGAAUCUGCACCUUCGCAGGGUGGCUCAUAGCGCUAUGAUUCUAAAUUGAAGCUCCGUGACGUAGCUAGAUAGGAGGGAGAAAAUACGAGCCCAAGUGUGGUUUGGGGUUCGGUGGAAAAAAAUAAAAAAUAAAAAAUAAAAAAUAAAACAUAACCCACCCUUCGUUCAACCUAGGAUCAACCUAUGAAUACUUCACCAUGUCACCCUACGUUUCACGCCAGCGAUACAUGCGCGCCACUGCGACACACGGACAGCCCGCCAUCUUCCCCGAUCGAGUCUUCCACAUCCCAAUUUUGGCCUCUCUUUCCCGCCAUACAUGUGAGAUUUGCUACAACGUAGCGGUCGAUCAUUAGUUUACCACCGCAGCUGUGCUGUGAAACCCAUAACUCAACUCGAUCGCAAUUUUUUUUUUCCAAGUCGUUAGAGUUGAAUGCCAACGGUGUCCUGGUGAUGGAUAUCGUAAUAAAAGGGACAAAGAUUAAAAUAAAUAAUGAGAAGCCUUAUAUCUUACUUAUAUUGUCAUAUAAUUUCGAGACAGAGGGUGUAUUUCGUAAACUAACACAAUGCAAUCAAUCAACUGAACAUUUCUUUUUACUAUCACUUCCCUAAGAACCCAGCAAGCAAUUUAUUUAUUUGUUAAUUUUUUUUUUUUUAAAAAAAAAAAAAUGGGAGAGAGAAAAAACAAGCCAAAAAUCCUCAUGAAGUUAAUUAAAAUAUUUGAUGCAGAAAAUUGCCAAGUAAUAUACAAGAUGGAAAACAAAACAAAUGAAAAAAAAGGGGCUCUCUCUUGUCUUUUACAAGACGGUUGGAGAGGGGGGAAAAAAUGAGGCCAAAAUAAGAUAGUUCAACAACAACCUUGGACGAAAAUGUAACAGUUGAUGUGGGAAACAGUGUAGUUUUAAAAGAGGUGCGAAAAGAAGUAUAUAAUAAUGUAGUAAGACAAGGAUGUCGCUAAAUAGGGUGCGACACAUUGAAUGCUCGAACGGAAAAGAUUAAGUAUGUAAAACAUGCUGGGG
rnacentral:sRNA from 1 species